CCGUGAACCUUUACUAUAGCUUGACACUGAACAUUGAGCCUUGAUGUGUAGGAUAGGUGGGAGGCUUUGAAGUGUGGACGCCAGUCUGCAUGGAGCCGACCUUGAAAUACCACCCUUUAAUGUUUGAUGUUCUAACGUGGACCCGUUACCCGGGUUGCGGACAGUGUCUGGUGGGUAGUUUGACUGGGGCGGUCUCCUCCUAAAGAGUAACGGAGGAGCACGAAGGUUGGCUAAUCCUGGUCGGACAUCAGGAGGUUAGUGCAAUGGCAUAAGCCAGCUUGACUGCGAGCGUGACGGCGCGAGCAGGUGCGAAAGCAGGUCAUAGUGAUCCGGUGGUUCUGAAUGGAAGGGCCAUCGCUCAACGGAUAAAAGGUACUCCGGGGAUAACAGGCUGAUACCGCCCAAGAGUUCAUAUCGACGGCGGUGUUUGGCACCUCGAUGUCGGCUCAUCACAUCCUGGGGCUGAAGUAGGUCCCAAGGGUAUGGCUGUUCGCCAUUUAAAGUGGUACGCGAGCUGGGUUUAGAACGUCGUGAGACAGUUCGGUCCCUAUCUGCCGUGGGCGCUGGAGAACUGAGGGGGGCUGCUCCUAGUACGAGAGGACCGGAGUGGACGCAUCACUGGUGUUCGGGUUGUCAUGCCAAUGGCACUGCCCGGUAGCUAAAUGCGGAAGAGAUAAGUGCUGAAAGCAUCUAAGCACGAAACUUGCCCCGA
rnacentral:rRNA from 1 species